CUCACUACUCUCAUCUCGUAACAAGCUUCCACCCGCCGUUAUCCCCAUUGUUCUUCGCUGAUCGAGAAUCGGGAGUGCUGCAGCAGUCGCUUUGGAUCCUUAGUCUGCCAUGGGAGUUCACUUCCAGCUCUGCACGAUGACGACUAGAACAGGCACACAAUCGAAAUUCAAACAUGGUAUUACAAACGCUUUUGGAGUAGAGAAAAGAUGAAAUACAAUUCGGAAAGAGAAGGCGAAACAAAAGUCAAAGAAGUUUCAUGCAAUCAGUUGGACAAAGAGGCAGGCCAGAAUCGUGGUGGGAUCCCCAAGAAUGAUACUAACGAUGGUCUGGAUGAAGAUCUUGAGGAUUCUCAGCAUCUUGUUACCUUCUCCGCCUUUCUUCCGACGGCUAAUUUCUUUUAGAUUCACGUUCAGAGCCAAAGAUUUUUCAGCAGUGUUUCCUCGGCUUCUGUUCCAUUCAUUUAAAACCAUUUCAGUAACACAAGCCACAUGAACAUGGUAGUUGCCGCAGUCAGAGAUGUACGACCACCCAUUGUCUCCGUCUCUGUCUCCGCCGCUGUCUUUGAGGCGCCUAUUCUUGCACCAUAUGCACUUCCCUUUCACCUCCAUGUGGAGAUUGAACUCCACGUCUUUAAUUUGGUAACUUUUUUUGAGGUUUCGGCAGCAUGGGUGAAGGUCCAAUUUAGAUUUCUCGCAGUUGAACACGAAGCCAUUGAUGGUUUUUCUGCAAGCGUUGCACCUCACUAUGCCCUGGUCGCAGCAUUUUGGUGGGUUUCUGAGGAACUCAAAGGUGGAACCCGGAAAGAAUUCAUGGGAAUUCGGUGCAUAGUGUGCAAACAUACAGGCUUUGUGGAGAUCAAAAUCGCAUUUUUCGCAUCGGUAUCGAGGGCCGAAUCCUGUUUCCUUGCAGCCAUCGCAGGUGUAAGGUUUCUGAUACUCCUUCAGCUCCAAUUCAUGCAUCUGGUGGCUUGGAUUACGCAAGGUCUCCAUCGCCAUUUCUCUGUGUUGCCUUCAAAAGAAAAAAAAAAUCAAGAACAAUUAUGCGAUGCAGGGAAAAGAGCAGAGAAUAGAAGAGAUUUGCGAAUAUGCAGAAUGGGAUGCGUGGCUAUAUAUAAAGAAAUCCAAGGCAUCUGAGUUUCAGGAUGUUGCAGGUAAAUCUUUGAGGAGAGGUCAAAAGCUUCCAAUCUCUGUGUUUGGAUUCUCGUGUAAAUAGGUGAAGUAGCCCUUUUCUUGAACGCAGCUGAGAUUACGAGCAGAGAAGAGAAUUUCCUGAGAAAUUAUUGAAGAAAGGUGAGAAGCUUCCUCAACAUAAUUUAUAUUUUCAUGUCCACUUUAAGGAAAUAAUAUUUUUUAUAUUUAAUAUAAAUAUCAAUCUUCUCAAUUUAGUUAACUAAAAUACCACUAAAAUACAAAUUAAUGCAAACAAAUAUAAAAUUAUCACUUUCAAUGAACGGAGUCGGCUGAUUUAGGAUAGAUGGUGACAAAAUUAUAAUUUAAUUUAUCAUAAGGUUAAAUUAAAAUUGAGACGAAGGGAAA